rnacentral:misc_RNA from 1 species
GCAAACUUGGUCAUUUAGAGGAAGUAAAAGUCGUAACAAGGUUUCCGUAGGUGAACCUGCGGAAGGAUCAUUACAGAAAUAAACUUGAUAGGUUGUAGCUGACUCUAUUAUAGAGUAUUGUGCACACUUGUCAUUUUUAUCUUUCCACCUUUGUGCACUUUGCAUAGGUCUGAGAAUCGAAGUUUACUUUGAUGUUUUGGGAACUGCUGUUGUAAUAUCAGCUUUUCUUGUCUUCAGGCUCUAUGAUUUUUUCUAUACACUCUGCAUGUUAAAGAAUGUUUUGAAAGGCUUAUCAAAGCUAAUAAAUAUAAUACAACUUUCAGCAACGGAUCUCUUGGCUCUCGCAUCGAUGAAGAACGCAGC